GGACAGAUCCUGCCCGGGCUUGCUGGCUCGGGAUGGGUCCUGAUUCUCCCCCAUGCCCUGGGGAUGGCUCAGCUCAGCCAGGCCCUGCCACAAAGCUGCAAACGGGGACAAUCGGGGGACAAUGGGGUCUCUGUGGCAGCCCCGCUGCCUGCCAACGGCCCCGGGAGCACGGCCUGGGAGCGGGGCUGUGUUUGGCAGCCGGGUUUUGUGGGGUUACAUCCUUCAUCCGGGCUGUUUCCUUUCCCAAAGGUGUCCUUGUGGGGUUUUUUCCUUUCUCAGGGGUGUUCUUGUGGGGUUUGGUGCCGGGAUUCAGCCACGAGCCCCCAUCCAAGCCCCGGCCAGAGCCUGGGAACGGGGCUGCUCCGACAAAAAGCCCCAGGGUGGGCGAGAUCCAGGGCUUGGUGGGGAGCUCACCGCAGUGGGGUCGGUCCCUCGGGGUCCCAGGUUGUCCCUUGGUGUCCUGGGCUGUCCCCCAGUGCCCCGGGGACAAGCAGGGUCCGUGCGAGGUGUGGGGACAGCCGCCUGCUUGGGUCUUCACCCACCAGACCAGGGUCGGCAGCGGGAUGAGCGUGGUGUCACAGCAUUGCCAGCACAGAGUGACCCCAAAACCUUGCUCUCCACGUCCCCAAAGGAGCCACGUGGCCGAGGGACCCUCCCCGGGCUGGAGAAGCCCCCCCCGAGGGCUCAGCUGCUGGACACGAGGCCAGGACCUCGGAUGAGGGCUGCUUGCCCAGCGCACAGCGGGGCCAGGGAGGGCCCCGGAGCUGUGGGGGCAAUGCCGGGGGCUGGAGAAGGGCAGGGAGCGGGAUUUGGGGCCGAGCCACCCGGCUCGAGGACACCGAGAACUCCCUCUGCUCCUCCUCCCCUACAACCAGCUCGAAAGGGGAAGAGAAACCGCGGCACCGCGAGCUUCUCCGAGGCUCCCCCACCCCACAGAGCCAGGCAGGACACACAGCGUCCCCUUCCUGGCACCAGGGUCACCCUACAGAGGGCAGGCACCUGAGUAUCGCAGCACCCAGCGCUCCCCC
rnacentral:lncRNA from 1 species